ACCAAAACACGACGUUAGCCCGUCUCUUAUCUAUAAUCAGAAAUCAAAUCACUGCAAAUCCAAACAGCAUAUCUUCUGCAAUCAAUUGUCACCAGUUAAUUUUGGAUCUUUUUUUUAUAUCAAAAUACGUACAAAAAUUUGCCACCGUUUUCUUUACAAGUUCGUACUCAAAAACGAACUAGUUUCAUUGAGCAGCUCUUGCAAAACCAAGAGAAGCUAGUUGAAAUCUCUCCUAGCAAGUUGAAGCCUGGUUUGCGCUCGCCUUACUUUGUGCUACAAAUACUUUCGAAAAUAGGCUCAAGGGUCACCUAUGUGAACACAGAUGAUUGUUUACUAAUUAACCAGUCCUGAAGGCAAAAUGGAAGGGUUUGCGGGACACAUUUCGAGCUGAAUUGAAGAAGGAGCAAGUUUAUCGUAAAAG
rnacentral:misc_RNA from 1 species